CGCCAGCUCCCUGACUGCGGCCUGCAGCUCCCGGUCUUUGCCCAUCAGCCGCUCGGCCUGUUCCCGGACCGUCCGCUCGGCCGCCUCCAGCCGGCGCUCCAGCUCCGUCAGCCGGCGAUGAACGGCCGCCAGGUGGACUCAACAUUCUGCUCCUUAGGUCUUAUAUCAUCUAAGAUCACAUCAUCAAACUGUCAGAAGAAUUGGACGAGACUUUGGGCAAACAGGUGGAACAUUCAAUUGGUGCAGAUUAUCAGGAAGGAAAUUUAAAGAAAGAGCAAGCAACGUAUUGAAAUCCGUAAAUUGCGCCACGGAUUCAGUAUUGGAGGUGGAAUUGACCAGGAUCCUGCACAAAACCCCUACUCGGAGGAUAAAACAGACAAGGUGGAGAGCAUUCUGACUGGUUGCAUCACUGCCGAGUAUGGAGGAUCAAAAGACGCUGCAGCAGGUUGUAGACUCAGCCAGCUCCAUCACGGGCACAAACCUCAAGGACAUCUUUGAGAGGCUCAAGAAGGCGGCAUCCAUCACUAAGGACCCUCACCAUCCGGGACAUGCCCUCUUCUCAUUACUACCAUCGGGGAGGAGGUACAGGAGCCUGAAGACCCACACUCAAUGAUUCAGGAACAGCUUCUUCCCCUCCGCCAUCAGAUUUCUGAACGAUCCGUGAACCCACGAACACCACUUCGUUAUUCCUCUUUAUGCACCAUUGAUUUAUUUUGUAAUUUAUGCCUUUGCAAUGUACCGCUGGCACAACACAACACAUUUUAUGACAUGUAAGUCAGCAGUAAUAAAUCUG